GGCUGUAUGUGUUUCAUAAGUCAUGCCACAGGAAGAGGCGGCCUUUGGUGCCGCUGCCUGCCUGCCUUCUCUGUUUUUCCAUCUCUGCUGCUCAUCCAUGGAUCUCCCUCUGACAGCCCGCUUAGAUGUUGAACAUGUCAAUAUAGCACUGUCAGAUGGAAGAUGACAGAGAGGAACACGACGAGAAAAUAGGAUUAGAUGAAGGGAGACAAGAAAUGACACAUCAAGACAGCAUCCAAAUGACAUGGUCACUGUCAAAUGCUCUAUUAGUCUUUGUCCAGAAGACACGCUGUAGGGGGUCCAAUCAAAAACGCAUAUUUUGAACAAUGGGCAAUAAUAUAUUACUUGUGUACAUACUCCUCUAAGAAAACCAAUGGUCCAACCCUCAUGUCUAUAUCAUAAUCCAUUCCAUAAUCCAGGCUCAACGUUGAACUCUUCAUCUUUCUUCGCAAAUCCAGAGGACAUAAACCAAUAUUGAGGGGCUUUGAGCCGGUUCGUGACAAGUGCCACAGACCUCAACCUGCGUCUGCUUAAAACCGCCGUCUAGGCGUCAGGAAGAGAGAUAGGGUUCAUGAUAUCCCAGGAGAGGGCGUGGUGGCUCAAUCUAUCCACGGUGUCUACUAGUGAGAAGCUGAAGAUCCUGGAUGCUCCAGUAGACCCUGAAGGCCUUUUCGGUCCCACCGCCAAAAAGAAGCCUCCCUUCCCACCCAUGGCACUCACCAAGGAGCCGGCCGGCUCCUAACCCCACCCAGGGGGUAAGAAGGAAGAAGCGGAUGGCCUGGCGGUGUCCCCAUCACCAGAGAGGUGAGAACGGCCUUCCCUAAGGACGGUUCUAUCUCCUCCGCCAAUCCUGAAUUUAUUCCAGGGUACAAGUUCCCAGGCACCUCAGUGUUCUUUCCGGUGUACUAGGCCCAAGACGAUGGCAACAGAACAUACACACUCAGGCUCAGGGGGAAUCAGCGCUUGUCCUCAAGGAGGAAAUAACAUCGCUAAUUGGGAAAAGGGCAAUAAGAAUUGCCACGGUCUUGGGCCUAGUACGCCGGAAAAAACAGGUUCGUAUCCAUCAACCUAAAGGACAAUUACUUUCACAUCUAAAUAUAUCCUCCUCAGAGGAAAUUUCUCAGAUUUGCUUUUCUAGGUGUAACCUCAGAAUUUCUGGUCAAAUCAAAUGUAUUUAUGUAGCCCUUCGUACAUCAGCUGAUUUCUCAAAGUGCUGUACAGAUACCCAGCCUAAAACCCCAAACAGCAAGCAAUGCAGGUGUUGAAGCACGGUGGCUAGGAUUUUUUUGGGGGGUUCUAGUCAGGAUUCUAGCAGCUGUAUUUAGCACUAACUGAAGUUUAUUUAGUGUUUUAUCCGGGUAGCCGGAAAGUAGAGCAUUGCAGUAGUCUAACCUAGAAGUUACAAAAGCAUGGAUUCAUUUUUCUGCAUCGUUUUUGGACAGAAAGUUUAAGAUUUUUGCAAUGUUACGUAGAUGGAAAAAAGCUGUCCUUGAAACAGUCUUGAUAUGUUCGUCAAAAGAGAGAUCUGGGUCCAAAGUAACGCCGAGGUCCUUCACAGUUUUAUUUGAGACAACCAUUAAGAUUAAUUGUCAGAUUCAAAAGAAGAUCUCUUUAUUUCUCGGGACCUAGAACAAGCAUCUCUGUUUUGUCCGAAAGUUUGUAGUAGAAAGUUUGCAGCCAUCCACUUCCUUAUGUCUGAAACACAGGCUUCUAGCGAGGGCAAUUUUGGGGCUUCACCAUGUUUCAUUGAAAUGUACAGCUGUGUGUCAUCCGCAUAGCAGUGAAAGUUAACAUUAUGUUUUCGAAUGACAUCCCCAAGAGGUAAAAUAUAUAGUGAAAACAAUAGUGGUCCUAAAACGGAACCUUGAGGAACACCAAAAUUUACAGAAGACAAACCAUUCACAGAGACAAACUGAUAUCUUUCCGACAGAUAAGAUCUAAACCAGGCCAGAACUUGUCCAUGUAGACCAAUUUGGGUUUCCAAUCUCUCAAAAAGAAUGUGGUGACCGAUCGUAUCAAAAGCAGCACUAAGUUCUAGGAGCACGAGGACAGAUGCAAAGCCUCGGUUUGAUGCCAUUAAAAGGUUAUUUACCACCUUCACAAGUGCAGUCUCAGUGCUAUGAUGGGGUCUAAAACCAGACUGAAGCAUUUCGUAUACAUCGUUUGUCGUCAGGAAGGCAGUGACUUGCUACGCAACAGCCUUCUCUAACAAGUUUGAGGGGAAUGGAAAAUUCGAUAUAGGCCGAUAGUUUUUUAUAUUUUCUGGGUCAAGGUUUGGCUUUUUCAAGAAAGACUUUAUUACUGCCACUUUUAGUGAGUUUGGUACACAUCCGGUGGAUAGAGAGACGUUUAUUAUGUUCAACAUAGGAGGGCCAAGCACAGGAAGCAGCUCUUUCAGUAUAUUAGUUGGAAUAGGGUCCAGUUUGCAGCUUGAAGGUUUAGAGGCCAUUAUUAUUUUCAUCAUUGUAUCAAGAGAUAUAGUACUAAAACACUUGAGUGUCUCUCUUGAUCCUAGGUCCUGGCAGAUUUGUGCAGACUCAAGACAACUGAGCUUUGAAGGAAUACGCAGAUUUAAAGAGGAGUCCGUAAUUUGCUUUCAAAUAAUCAUGAUCUUUUCCUCAAAGAAGUUCAUGAAUUUAUUACUGGUGAAGUGAAAGCCAUCCUCUCUUGGGGAAUGCUGCUUUUUAGUUAGCUUUGCGACAGUAUCAAAAAGACAUUUUCGAAUAGUUCUUAUUUUCCUCAAUUAAGUUGGAAAAAUAGGAUGAUCGAGCAGCAGUAAGGGCUCUUCGAUACUGCACGGUACUGUCUUUCCAAGCUAGUCGGAAGACUUCCAGUUUGGUGUGGCGCCAUUUCCGUUAGAAUUUUCUGGAAGCUUGCUUCAGAGCUCGGGUAUUUUCUGUAUACCAGGGAGCUAGUUUCUUAUGAGAAAUGUGUUUAGUUUUUUUGGGUUGCAACUGCAUCUAGGGUAUUGCGCAAGGUUAAAUUGAGUUCCUCAGUUAGGUGGUUAACGGAUUUUUGUACUCUGACGUCCUUGGGCAGACAGAUAUUUUUUUAUAUGCCUUCCUAACCAUCUUAAAUAAACAUGCCCCAUUCAAGAAAUUUAGAACCAGGAACAGAUAUAGCCCUUGGUUCUCCCCAGACCUGACUGCCCUUAACCAACACAAAAGCAUCCUAUGGCGUUCUGCAUUAGCAUCGAACAGCCCCGUGAUAUGCAGCUGUUCAGGGAAG